rnacentral:rRNA from 1 species
ACUAUCGUUAACUGAAUACAUAGGUUAACGAGGCGAACCGGGGGAACUGAAACAUCUAAGUACCCCGAGGAAAAGAAAUCAACCGAGAUUCCCCCAGUAGCGGCGAGCGAACGGGGAGCAGCCCGGAGUCUGAAUCAGCUUGUGUGUUAGUGGAACGGUCUGGAAAGUCCGACGGUACAGGGUGAUAGUCCCGUACACGAAAGCACACUUGCUGUGAACUCGAAGAGUAGGGCGGGACACGUGGUAUCCUGUCUGAAUAUGGGGGGACCAUCCUCCAAGGCUAAAUACUCCUGACUGACCGAUAGUGAACCAGUACCGUGAGGGAAAGGCGAAAAGAACCCCGGCGAGGGGAGUGAAAAAGAACCUGAAACCGUGUACGUACAAGCAGUGGGAGCACCUUCGUGGUGUGACUGCGUACCUUUUGUAUAAUGGGUCAGCGACUUAUAUUCUGUAGCAAGGUUAACCGUAUAGGGGAGCCGAAGGGAAACCGAGUCUUAACUGGGCGUUAAGUUGCAGGGUAUAGACCCGAAACCCGGUGAUCUAGCCAUGGGCAGGUUGAAGGUUGGGUAACACUAACUGGAGGACCGAACCGACUAAUGUUGAAAAAUUAGCGGAUGACCUGUGGCUGGGGGUGAAAGGCCAAUCAAACCGGGAGAUAGCUGGUUCUCCCCGAAAGCUAUUUAGGUAGCGCCUCGUGAACUCAUCUUCGGGGGUAGAGCACUGUUUCGGCUAGGGGGCCAUCCCGGCUUACCAACCCGAUGCAAACUACGAAUACCGAAGAAUGUUAUCACGGGAGACACACGGCGGGUGCUAACGUCCGUCGUGAAGAGGGAAACAACCCAGACCGCCAGCUAAGGUCCCAAAGUCAUGGUUAAGUGGGAAACGAUGUGGGAAGGCACAGACAGCCAGGAUGUUGGCUUAGAAGCAGCCAUCAUUUAAAGAAAGCGUAAUAGCUCACUGGUCGAGUCGGCCUGCGCGGAAGAUGUAACGGGGCUAAACCAUGCACCGAAGCUGCGGCAGCGACACUAUGUGUUGUUGGGUAGGGGAGCGUUCUGUAAGCCGUUGAAGGUGUGCUGUGAGGCAUGCUGGAGGUAUCAGAAGUGCGAAUGCUGACAUAAGUAACGAUAAAGCGGGUGAAAAGCCCGCUCGCCGGAAGACCAAGGGUUCCUGUCCAACGUUAAUCGGGGCAGGGUGAGUCGACCCCUAAGGCGAGGCCGAAAGGCGUAGUCGAUGGGAAACAGGUUAAUAUUCCUGUACUUGGUGUUACUGCGAAGGGGGGACGGAGAAGGCUAUGUCAGCCGGGCGACGGUUGUCCCGGUUUAAGCAUGUAGGCGGAGGUUCCAGGUAAAUCCGGUACCUUAUUAACGCUGAGGUGUGAUGACGAGGCACUACGGUGCUGAAGUGAUAAAUGCCCUGCUUCCAGGAAAAGCCUCUAAGCAUCAGGUAACACGAAAUCGUACCCCAAACCGACACAGGUGGUCAGGUAGAGAAUACCAAGGCGCUUGAGAGAACUCGGGUGAAGGAACUAGGCAAAAUGGUGCCGUAACUUCGGGAGAAGGCACGCUGAUGUGUAGGUGAAGUCCCUGCGGACGGAGCUGAAAUCAGUCGAAGAUACCAGCUGGCUGCAACUGUUUAUUAAAAACACAGCACUGUGCAAACACGAAAGUGGACGUAUACGGUGUGACGCCUGCCCGGUGCCGGAAGGUUAAUUGAUGGGGUUAGCUGUAAGGCGAAGCUCUUGAUCGAAGCCCCGGUAAACGGCGGCCGUAACUAUAACGGUCCUAAGGUAGCGAAAUUCCUUGUCGGGUAAGUUCCGACCUGCACGAAUGGCGUAAUGAUGGCCAGGCUGUCUCCACCCGAGACUCAGUGAAAUUGAACUCGCUGUGAAGAUGCAGUGUACCCGCGGCAAGACGGAAAGACCCCGUGAACCUUUACUAUAGCUUGACACUGAACACUGGUCCUUGAUGUGUAGGAUAGGUGGGAGGCUUUGAAGCGUGGACGCCAGUCUGCGUGGAGCCGCCCUUGAAAUACCACCCUUUAAUGGCUGGUGUUCUAACGUAGACCCGUAAUCCGGGUUGCGGACAGUGUCUGGUGGGUAGUUUGACUGGGGCGGUCUCCUCCCAAAGAGUAACGGAGGAGCACGAAGGUUGGCUAAUCCUGGUCGGACAUCAGGAGGUUAGUGCAAUGGCAUAAGCCAGCUUGACUGCGAGCGUGACGGCGCGAGCAGGUGCGAAAGCAGGUCAUAGUGAUCCGGUGGUUCUGAAUGGAAGGGCCAUCGCUCAACGGAUAAAAGGUACUCCGGGGAUAACAGGCUGAUACCGCCCAAGAGUUCAUAUCGACGGCGGUGUUUGGCACCUCGAUGUCGGCUCAUCACAUCCUGGGGCUGAAGUAGGUCCCAAGGGUAUGGCUGUUCGCCAUUUAAAGUGGUACGCGAGCUGGGUUUAGAACGUCGUGAGACAGUUCGGUCCCUAUCUGCCGUGGGCGCUGGAGAAUUGAGGGGGGCUGCUCCUAGUACGAGAGGACCGGAGUGGACGCAUCACUGGUGUUCGGGUUGUCAUGCCAAUGGCACUGCCCGGUAGCUAAAUGCGGAAGAGAUAAGUGCUGAAAGCAUCUAAGCACGAAACUUGCCCCGAGAUGAGUUCUCCCUGAGACUUUAAGUCUCCUGAAGGAACGUUAAAGACGAUGACGUUGAUAGGUCGGGUGUGUAAGCGCAGCGAUGCGUUGAGCUAACCGAUACUAAUGAACCGUGAGGCUUAACC